CCCAUCACAUGUGUUGAGUAAAACAAGACUGAUCAUCCACCAAUUAUAUAUUUUGUUCUAAUCCUUACUAAGAUAGGUUGGCUCGUUGAAACUUAGGUAUGUUUGGUUGGAGAAUUGGAAUGGAAACGAUUGACUCGUUCUAGUUAUUUGGUUGGGAAUGAGAGAGGACGUGUCAUUCCCCUUUUGAUUCUACUGAAAAAU
rnacentral:lncRNA from 1 species